rnacentral:rRNA from 1 species
GUCUAUGGCCAUACCACCCUGAACAUGCCCCAUCUCUUCUGAUCUCAGAAGCUAAGUAGGGUUGAGCCUGGUUAGUACUUGGAUGGGAGAAUACCUUAAAUUUUGACA